GAUGAAGAACGUAGCGAAAUGCGAUAAGUAAUGUGAAUUGCAGAAUUCAGUGAAUCAUCGAAUCUUUGAACGCACAUUGCGCCCGCCAGUAUUCUGGCGGGCAUGCCUGUUCGAGCGUCAUUUCAACCAUCAAGCCCCCGGCUUGUGUUGGGGACCUGCGGCUGCCGCAGGCCCUGAAAAGCAGUGGCGGGCUCGCUGUCACACCGAGCGUAGUAGCAUACAUCUCGCUCUGGGCGUGCUGCGGGUUCCGGCCGUUAAACCACCUUCAUAACCCAAGGUUGACCUCGGAUCAGGUAGGAAGACCCGCUGAACUUAAGCAUAUCAAUAAGCGGAGGC
rnacentral:misc_RNA from 1 species